ACUGAACGCUGGCGGCAUGCUUUACACAUGCAAGUCGAACGGUAACAGGUUAAGCUGACGAGUGGCGAACGGGUGAGUAAUGCAUCGGAACGUGCCCGGUCGUGGGGGAUAACACUUCGAAAGAAGUGCUAAUACCGCAUACGAUCUGAGGAUGAAAGCGGGGGACCGUAAGGCCUCGCGCGAUCGGAGCGGCCGAUGUCAGAUUAGGUAGUUGGUGGGGUAAAGGCUCACCAAGCCGACGAUCUGUAGCUGGUCUGAGAGGACGACCAGCCGAACUGGGACUGAGACACGGCCCAGACUCCUACGGGAGGCAGCAGUGGGGAAUUUUGGACAAUGGGCGCAAGCCUGAUCCAGCAAUGCCGCGUGCAGGAAGAAGGCCUUCGGGUUGUAAACUGCUUUUGUACGGAGCGAAAAGGCUCUCUCUAAUACAGGGGGCUCAUGACGGUACCGUAAGAAUAAGCACCGGCUAACUACGUGCCAGCCGCCGCGGUAAAAC
rnacentral:rRNA from 1 species